UAGAACCUGUUGUGUUCGAAAGUUUGCUUUUUAUUUGGGCCUAACACUCUUUGAUCCGGGAGCCCAAUAGGUUUUCUUGCGGCGCACAUGCCUCGUUCUGAGGACUUGCAAACCAAGAAACAGGGCACCCACCUGUACUUAGCAGGCCGAAUGAUCAAGCUUUUUACAACUACGGCACGAACGGAUUCUAU
rfam:Staphylococcus pettenkoferi VCT012 contig00010, whole genome shotgun sequence.